CCUACGGGAGGCAGCAGUGGGGAAUAUUGCGCAAUGGGCGAAAGCCUGACGCAGCGACGCCGCGUGAGGGAUGAAGGUCUUCGGAUCGUAAACCUCUGUCAGCAGGGAAGAACGGUCACUGUGCUAAUCACCAGUUAGUUGACGGUACCUGCAAAGGAAGCACCGGCUAACUCCGUGCCAGCAGCCGCGGUAAUACGGAGGGUGCGAGCGUUCAUCGGAAUUACUGGGCGUAAAGCGAUCGUAGGCGGUAUGUUAAGUCAAGGGUGAAAUCCCCGCGCUCAACGGUGGAACUGCCUUUGAAACUGGCAAACUGGAGUGUGUGAGAGGAUAGCGGAAUUCCAGGUGUAGGAGUGAAAUGCGUAGAUAUCAGGAGGAACAUCAGUGGCGAAGGCGACUAUCUGGCACAUAACUGACGCUGAGGAGCGAAAGCGUGGGUAGCAAACAGGAUUAGAUACCCGGGUAGUC
rnacentral:rRNA from 1 species